GGCAAGCAUAUAUGUGUGCCCGUCAACCCGGAGAGACAUUACGGAUGGUGGACGUUGAGUGCUAUCAUCAUCACUCAAAACUUAUUAAAAUUAUGGCCAUCGUUUGAAGCUCGUGCUUUUUAAGUGAACCGUACGCGAAAUGGCGGCCGGCACACCAAAACAACAAAGGGCACCUUUGCGCACGGUGCGCCAGGUGAAAUAUUGAUGAAAGAUGUGCCUCGAUUUCGGGGGGAAAACAGGGAGAGGCGGAGGGUAGGAGAUGCUGAAGGACCUCUGGAAGGUGCGAUGGCGGUGGGCUUUGAUCUUUGCCGUCGUCGCCAUCAAUUGACCGCGCGAACCGGUGACUUCGUUUCGCGGUACCGCCCCAUCGAAGGCUUCCCGCUUUUGAGUACCGGCAAUGAUGAUAAACUGCAUCACCGGGAUGAAGUGCUUCAUCGGCAUCAAUCGCAUGGUGUUUCGUGGUUGACGCUCCGUUCUUUGCAGUGAAGAAUGCUGAUGAAGAAGUGGCUGAUGGGACGUGGAACAAUUAUUUGCUUUUCUUAAUAAAAUUUAGCUCAAUAAGGAAGAACGCAAGCAUUGUUAAUAAUCGAAAUAAACGAAUUAAAAUAAAAUUUAAUUUACCAAAAAAUUCCUUGCGUACUAACGGUAAAAAACCGAGAUCAUGUACAAGUGAUUUUACUUUAAACAAACUCCUAAAAAGCAACACAUAAAAUCAACAUAUAAAACUUGUUCGAACAAACAUCAGCGCGAAUAUUGUGCUCGGUGUCGCAUGGUUCUUAAACGAAGCCCACGAAAAAUCCAUUCCACGGGCGCUGUGACGUAAUAAAAGUAAAACUUCAGCCCACUCGUCCAGAAUGGCAAGCAAUUCCAAAUUAAAAGUCGCGUAUUUUGCUUUUCCCAGCCCUCCACCCCCCUCCUUUCCACUGUUUCAGGUUGUUAGAAUCGAGGGUUUUCACACUCACUUUCCAACCCUGGCCAAAAACCUGGCCCGCCUGCGAAACCGUAGCAUGGUGACAAUUUUGUACUUUCCAGUGGGUUGCUUUUUUUUUUGGUUCUUCCUGCUGUUGCUUUUUUGCACCCUGUGCAGACCACUGUGCAGACAUCACCUUGUCCCUGCAUAUCAAAUGAGCCGAAGCCGAACGAGUUGAAGCGAAGUAGCGCGCUUGCUUACUAAAAAAAAAAUAAAACGGGUUGUGAAGAAAGGAUAAAUUUUUAAUUGAAUUCGUGACUUGGUCUAGAAAUGCGAAAUGGUUCGCUUCCAAAGCAUAAAACUUAAUUACUUACAAUGCUGUUGUUUUUAUUUCAUUAAAAGAAGAUUUUGAGCUAUAGAUUUCUGGGCUGAUUUGCAAGACGGCCCAUAUACAGUGUGGUCGGGAUCGUAUAAAAACACGCGCCACUACAGUGCCGCAGCUUCCCCGUGGAAGGGUUUUUUCGUGGCGGAAGAGCCCGAGCGGGGGGAGGGGAGCUGUGGAUCGAAAUUUAAUUAGAACGCUUAACCCACACCGUCGGCGUGCCAUUAUCGUACCGGUCGCCAUUUAACGCCGGGUGUUUGUCGAGCAACAAGAACGUCAAACAUGUGUAUCAAUUUUUUAGCCCGAUCGAAUCGGUUUUUCUCGGGGAUUGUCGAAUGUUUGUGGUGGGUGAAAUUGUGGUAAACAUGGCUGUAUAUUGGAAGAUUAUAUGGAUGUGUGUAAAGGUUUUGUAAUAAAAAUAUUAAUUUUA